AUCUCAUUCUUAACUCUUUUUAUUCUCUCUUCUCUCUCGUUCUCUUCACCGAUGAUUAGGGUUCAACUUCUCUGGCAAAGAAGUCUCAAAUCAAUAAUUUAUCCGAGAUUAAGGUCGAUUGGUUUGCUGAUUUUAGAGUUGUCAAAUCACAAAUAAAUUCCUAAUCUCAAAUCCCAAAAAUUUUCAUUCUUCAGAACUGAACUAGCAGCGCCAUUCUCCACAACUUAACCUAUCCUUUUCUUUACUCUAGCGCCUCCGACGACCACCAACAACUUGGAAAAUCAUAUCCGUUUCACUUUCUCUUUCGAUCUCGGAAAAACCAUCUCUUUUUCAGGUUCAUGCAAUACAGAGAAUCCAUAUCUAGUUCAUAUUCAUUAAGGGUUGGGGGGUUGGUUCAAUAAGGUCUUGCAUUACCUAAGACCGUGGGGAAGCGAAGCUUAUACUUGUUCACUUAACGGUUCACUAUGGCCUCUUUCGUCCUACCUUUUCUGCUCACUCGUACCCAUGAAACUUCAGAAUAUAGUUUCUUUGUUUUUCGUUUAUUACUGAGUUUUUAUUCUUGAUUUUUUGAGGUGCCUGAAGAAAAUGGCAAGAAUUGAUUUAUUAGUGUUCUGCGGUUAAGUUUUAUGGUGGGAUUUCACUUGUGAAACUAAUUGGGUUUGUUUGUUUGUUGGGUUGUCUCUCUGUGAAUUUACAGGGAAUGAGAUCUGGUCUCUGGAGCUUGUGUUGGUAGUGUUUGUGUGUUUGUUUGGAGUUAGUGUUGUCGCUUCAUUUUGGUUUUUGGAAACUAAUGCCCGAAAAGCUGAACGGUAAAUUAGAGUGCUGCUGCAGUUUGUGGAGAUGGUUACCGACGGUGCUCAUACUUGUGGUGGUGCUGAUUAUUGGUUGGUAAUAUGGUGGUGUUUGUUGAUGGCGGCUCGCUGGUGUUGUUUUUGGUGGUCGGGUGAUGUUGUUGGUGGGAGUUGUGGUGGAAUGGUAAUGGAUAUUUCUAUAAGUCCCAUCAAAGAAAAAAAAAAGAUAGCUAAAUUGGACGGUAUCAACUCAUAUGUCACUCUAAUGUAUCUCUUUUCGUUCGUUGAACUUUAAAUUUGCUGAAACUUCCUUUAUGUUGCAUAUCUACUUGAGCUUACAUGCUUCUUUUAAGCAUCCCUGGAUGUUUAGAUAUUGGGGAUCUAUCUAUCUUUUUAAGCAUGAAAUCUUCAUAACUUGCAUUUAUCUAACCGUCAUAUACAUUGUCGAUGCCAACUUUAUAUCAGGUUCGUCAUUUACGUGAUAGCAAUAGCUUUGCAACCUGAAGUGUGGAAGUUACUUUUUACUUUGAGUGCUUUAUUUCAGUUAAGUAUUGUCAUGCUCAUGUAGUUUCUUCCUAUUUACAUAGAAUGUUUUCAGAUCUCAGUAUUUAGUAAUCAUAGCACAAAAUCUUUUUCGCAAAAGGAAGAUAAUUGUUUGAACACCAACAGGAUAUAAAAAUGCCAUUUGUUCCUGCUUCAGAAACGGUAUUAAACUUCCACUAUCUUCUUCAACAUUCCAUUUGUUACUUCUCUUAAUAAACUCAUCUUAGGUGAUUGACAUCCAAUAUUUUGCUGUUUAAUACUCCUAACUUCUAUAUGUUCCUCCAGGCUAUCUUGCCAUACUGUCAAGAACUAGAGAAGUUCGCUCCCUAUAGUUGAUCUCCACUUUUCUCAUUUCAGGUUGACUUGUGAAGUUGAAGGACUAAUUGUGGUGAAACAACCCAGGUCGCAGAUAUGAGCAGUAAGUGCCACUACUUACAAGGCUGGUUAUGAAACAAAAAGAAGCUAUACUUGUUCGAGCAUGUAGGUAAUGAAUUUUGAGCUUGCUUCCAGUCUUGGGCCUUUAAGAUUGUGUCUACUACUGCCAUUACACUUCGCAUUACCGCUGCAGCUGCAGAAUUUCUAUGUUCUGAAAACUUAGGAAAUGUUUAUAUACUUAUCAUUUUUUUGAUACUACGCACAGAAUUUGUAUAUCCUCGGAACUUAAGAAAUAUUUCUAGCUACAGCUUGGAACUUAAGAAAUUUAUAUGUAUUGCCUAAGUUGUACUUUCGGAGUAUACAGAAGAACUCUUUAGUUUAUGCGUAA